GCUACAAACUACCUAAUUUUUUUGACAAACUAUCCUGAUUACCUUCAGGUUUUUUUUCUCCUCUCCUCUCCUCUCCUCUCCUCUCCUCUCCUCUCCUCUCCUCGUCCCCAGUAUAUGCUGAUUUGUUCUUCAGCAUGAAAAUUCCUCUUUAUCUCUCAUUUUCACUUUGCUGGUGGGUUGCAAGAGUUGUGUGUGUUGCAUAAUAGCUUUUCUGAAGCUGUUUAAUUCAGCCUGCAGGUUGAGUGGGAAGGGGAAUGCGUGUUAAAUCAUUCAGUGUGAAUUAAUUUUCUCUUCAAUUUCUCAGAAGUUGUAUGUUUUCUGGGGCUUUAGAAUUAGAAAUAUGUAGAAAAGAACUUCUUUACUUUUUGGGUAGAGGUUUUUGGGUAGAGAUUUUUUUUCUAUUACUGUCUUCCUAGCUAAGCAUCUUACAUGUUACAACAUUAUUUCAUCUCUCUUUUCUAUGACUGCAGUAAUUAAACGAUAAUUAGCACCAUAUCCGAGACAUUUGCUUUACUGUAGCAUAUUUUCACAGAUGGAGUGAUCCUAAUGUAAACUUCAGGUCAUUUACGCUUGAGGAAAGAGUUUUUUAAUAUCCAGGAUUUAAAGUAAGGAGCGAGGCAAUAUUGUUUUCCUUUUGGUUUUAUGCGCAGCUGACUGCUGUGUUACCUUGUGUAGCUUCCUAGUUGAUACUCCCUGAAAACAAAACCUGUUUCUUUUCCUCUGUACUUUCUGGACAUUCCACCAAAUGAAUAUUUUUGGACUUGUUACUCAGUUAACAGCUGCGUGCCCUCUGCAGAGUCAAGGACCAAUCCUUCAUGCCCUUCUGAGGCUGCUGUGCCAAGAAGUGAGGAUCUUAGCAGUCCAAGGGGGUGGUUCUCUUCUGCUUGAGGCGCUGUAAUUUUCAAUGGAAUGCUGUGCUAAUGCAGGCAAGCUCUGAGCACUGUGCAAAUGACUGAAAAGACUGCCUUUUUCUGUUUGUUUCUUUGUUUCUCGAAGUUGCAGUAACGUGUUUGACUCUGCCCAGUAGUGUUUUUACUGGCAGCCACGAUGCAGUUGCUCUGCCGUUGUGAAGAUUUUGCUCUGUGAAGUUGUCUCUGGUUGAACCACUGGGUGGCACCGUUGCACUAUUUUUGGGGUUCAUAUCUGGUCUGCUUUACAGGAACCUCAGAUAGAUGGCAGCUGCCCC
rnacentral:lncRNA from 1 species